CGAGUGUUGAAGCUGACGUACAGUUGCUCAGAAACAAGAGUGAGGCAGAACUGUGGACUUGGUCCAGCAUGACAACCCUCAGGAGAUCAUCCCUAAUUCUUUUGCCCUGACCAGCAAACUUAAUCAGCAGGAUGACUGGCUUUCUGUCAAGAAUCAGAAGAACAGAACUGUGAAGAGGGAAGUUCUAACCACAUGUCCAGAGGUCCAUGUCCAAAGUACAAAGGAUAUUUGUUUGCUAGUGAACUUGAAAGAUUAUUGAAGAAGGCAUUCUGGUCUGAAGAGACUAAAACAAAAAAGUCUGUGGAAGAAAACCAACACAUGAAGACUGAAAACACCAUUCCCAUCAUGAAACCUAGUGGCAGCAUCAUGAUAUGGGCAUUUUUUUCUUCUGACUGAUUAAUGAUAAAAUCAGUCUAUGGACACUGAAGGAACUACUUGAUGAAAGUAUUUGUAUCCUUUUUACUCAAGUGGACAUGUGUCUGCUAGUUUACUGAUGAACAUAUAGAUCGCUGCUGUGGGUCUGUACCUUACUGUUUUUUCCUCUCCAGUGUUUCUUCUGUUUCUUGUUCAGUAAAACCCAGAGAGGUAUGGAAUUGAGUCCUAAUUUCAAAUAAUUAAUGUAGUGAUGGAUCAGUCUGUUUAUAUUCACAUUAACAUUCAAAUAAAUUAUAAAUCAUGAAGUUCUUGUUAAAAUUGUAGUUACAUGUUUCUUUUUUCCAGGUUUCAGUAGAAAUGCCAGUUUCUCCCUCUUCCGUUUCUCACUUGGUGGAGCAGGAUCUCCACCAUGGCCAAUCAGAAAUCUCUGGCCCAUCUUGUCUCUUCCAGGGUCUUCUGGUUUAGAUAGUCCUUUAUUUUUGACAGCAAGCAAGGCCUUAGAAUCCAGGAUCCUAAACUUCUGGAGUGCUUCUGGCUUAGUCUCUCAGAUUAAAGAACAACAUCAAGAGGGUGUGAUGGCAGAGCCAAUUAAUUGACAGCCUCCUAAGUGAUUCUGCAGACUCAUCCACCGCCAUAAGAACCCUAUCUCUCGACCACAGUAAGGCCUUACCUUUCAAAGACUCUACGUGCCAGCUGAUGUGGCAGAAGACCAUGAUGCAGCUUUGUCUUGCCUCACCCAUGCCUCCCAUUGCUCCCACUGUACUUCAUGCUCAUCAAGCUCAGAUUCAUCGCACGAGGAGAGGUGUUGUUCUCAAAGAUCUUAUGUCCAGCAAGGUGAAAAGACUCAACACUUAAGUCCCAGUCCAGUCCAAGUCCAUACCCACAAUAUGACAACUCUUCUAACUUUGUCUGAUGAGCAAGUUUACAUGUCAAAUUUCCUGUACACAUCUAAGGGUUUGUGUAUGGCUCUUCCAAAGCAAAGAUCAAAAUGGCACCAACUUAGUCUUAAACCAUUGUUCUUCAAAAGUCUUUUGAAUUGCCUUAUUAUGUUCCUUAUGCCAGAGGAGGAUUUGCUGAAGUCUAUAGCAACAGUAGCGGACACAACAAAUGCAAUCAACAGCAACUUGGACAGUAGCCCAGAUUUCCCAAGAACCAUGUCUUCAUUUUGUGUUCGAGUGCACAUUAUCAAUUUUAGCAAAUUUGUUCUUAAUAGACGAAGCACACCCUGGAGUAGAACAGAGUUUUUCUAAGUCAUUCUUUUGGAGAAGAUAUCAGCUUGCCAGAGUCUAAGUCGAACCUCAUGGUCUGAGAGGGGACUCUCUAAGUCAUCUUCUGUGCUGCCAAUAGAGUCAGUGGCAAGCACUUUUCUACGAACGCCUUCACACGAAUCCAUCUGCUCCCUCUCUCCUACAUGUAUAGGUAACACACCAUACUUAUGUCGUCAGUAGCAAGAUGUUGCAGUGACCUAGCACAGUUUUGUGCCACUAAAUCUAAAGACAUAUCAGGUUUAUUGGUAGUGCCAACCUGGAUGUUGUAAGUGCAUUCAGAUCAGAUGUGUUUGGUCUGUUUUAAAUAGAUCAUAGUCUGAUUCCUCGGAUAAUCUACUUUGUUUUGGCAGGUGCGAAAACUCAUCUGAACUUGCACCAAACAAGUUAACACCUCUGCCGAAAAAUGUCUGCCUUGGUUUCAAUUGCAUGCUGGUGUUUUUUGCUUCCAGUAGGCAUAUAACUGGACUACUCAGCAAACCAAAGUGACAUGACUUAAACAUAUGAUUUAAGAAUGAAUCGAUGGUCUAAAACUUUUUAAUUAGUAAGUAAAGUUUAAGUAAUUUCUUGCUUGGAGACUGUGUAACCACAGUAGCACCUUGUACUUUCCCUCUCCACUGUCUUCUAGAACUGCCAAGCAGCAACAUGCUUGAUAACUCACUGGCUCGCCUGCUGCUCAUACUAAACAGUGUCUUAUGAUAACACCCCAAGCAAGCAACUGUUUUGGGUGGAAUCUUGUUUUCUUCUUUGUGGGGAUACCUUUACAGAAGGUGCCCUGCUGAGUGCCCCAAGCCAUUGGAAUAGGCCCUGGGCUUCCGCACAUAAAAGAUUAAUGGUUGAAUUGGUGCACUAGGAGUUUUAACAAACAUCACAUGAAUUUUCAAUUCAAAACAACUCAAUGUGCUUAAUCAGUUACGACUUAUAAAUUAGCUGAAUACCAUGGAAUCUAAAUGGUGACCAGGGUUUUGCAUUAUCAGUGCAAUCGGGAAAGACACAGGAGCUUACUAUCUUUGAUGUUGUUGCUUAAGCGAUUCACUGUUGAAGAGAACGCUUUUGGUUGACCUAGAUUUAUACAGUGGACUGAUCAGGCAGAUUAAUACAGCUGGCAGCCUCAGCAAACACCUUUUCUUGUUAUGAUUUGGGGUUCUUUGGUUUUUGGUUUCUGGGUUUUUCUUAUAUUUCUCUCAGUUAUUGAAUCAU